ACGGAGCUCAGGGAAACAGCAUUGCUAAUUGAUGCCAAGAUGGAUCGCUUCUCGGACUUUUGGCUAAGAUCAAGUGUAGAUGCCAAGAUGGAAACCUCACAGUCAUGUUUAACUCUUACCCUGCUUGUCCAGGAUGAAGUAAGGCCAGGCUGUGCUGAAUGAAGUCGGGCAGAAUGAUGGGCUGUGGCUGUCUCCUGCCGCCUGCUUGCUGAGAACUGGAAUAGACACAGCCCUCAGUUCCUUCGGAGGCCUGGGGAGGAGACAGAGCUGUUCUGUUGUUAGCCCUGCCAGACCACUGCAGGGAUGCCACGGCCCCUGAGCAAUCAGUGGCUUCAGUUGCGAAGACCGCACCAUGAGGCGGAUGCUGACUCCUCAUCAAUCCAGCUGAGACAUACAUGCCAGGAAAUUCUGAGUUUGAAAGUUAUCCUCAACCUCUUGGCUUGACAUGUUUUGCAUGAGUAUGGAAGGAUGUCUGAAAACAUCUUCUGCUCCCAGCUGAGUUGUGUGAGAAAACUGAACAGGAAUGAAGAAAGUGUGUGGCUACUAGUGUGGUUAUUGUGAUGAAAACUAAGCAGACAAGAAUUUCUUAUGGACAAAUUCUGAUGGAUCCAAUCUGACUAAAUCUAGAGACUAUUCUUAAGAAUCAUGGAAACUAUUUAUAAUAAGGUAUCAGAAAGUAUUUCCCAGC